CGUAAGUGCUAGGGGUGCAUUUUUUAUGCUGAGAGGAUAAUAUCUAACCCUUAAAACCUGAUGUAGUUAGUACUACCGUAGGGAAGCAAAAGCUAUUGUUU
rfam:Toxocara canis C1694802, whole genome shotgun sequence.